AAAACAAAAACAAAUAUGCACAUAUAUACAUACAUAUCUACUGCAUAUACAUACAUAUUUAUGCGUACUUAUGUACUCCCUUACCUCCAUAUGUAUGCACAUACAUACCUGAAUAUGUACAGAAGUAAGUAAAGCUACUCCAUAUCCACCACCACUUGCUUCCAGCUGACUCUCUCAAAUUUCAUCUGCUUUCUAUACGCACAGGGUUCGUGCCAACACUUCUAGAAAGGUGGAGUGCGAUCUGGAGUUACUGAAGUGGAUGGCAGAUGAAUCAACUCAAUACUAGCGAGUGUAGACUUUGUGAUCAUUCUAGAAAUUUGGAGCACACUUUGGAGUAAUGUAAUGGAGAAUGUAAGUAAAUUCACGACGGCGGGAAUUGAUUUCGAAGUAUUGAAUAGCACAACUACGAAACGAAGUCGCCGAACCGGAAAAUGAAAAAGGCGGAAGUGAAAUAAAAAAAA